rnacentral:rRNA from 1 species
UAGGGAAUCUUGCGCAAUGGGCGAAAGCCUGACGCAGCCAUGCCGCGUGAAUGAUGAAGGUCUUAGGAUUGUAAAAUUCUUUCAGCGGGGACGAUAAUGACGGUACCCGCAGAAGAAGCCCCGGCUAACUUCGUGCCAGCAGCCGCGGUAAUACGAAGGGGGCUAGCGUUGCUCGGAAUUACUGGGCGUAAAGGGCGCGUAGGCGGAUGUUUAAGUCAGAGGUGAAAGCCCAGGGCUCAACCUUGGAACUGCCUUUGAUACUGGACAUCUUGAGUAUGGGAGAGGUGAGUGGAACUCCGAGUGUAGAGGUGAAAUUCGUAGAUAUUCGGAAGAACACCAGUGGCGAAGGCGACUCACUGGCCCAUUACUGACGCUGAGGCGCGAAAGCGUGGGGAGCAAAC